CUUUGGCACUAGGUAUCUAGUUAAUAUUUAGACAUUAUGUACAUUUUCUUUCAACUGUUUUUCCUAUUAGGUGAUCAAACAAAACCACAGAUGCCAACCACACCAGCCCGCCAGGUGAAAACAGACUCGCCAGGCACCCAGCUGUGGCUGGGAGGGUAAAGGGGACUCUGUGAGCCAGCCCCAGGGAGACACUGGCCGCGGGUAUGUGCAGGGCCAGCCCUUGUCUUCAGGAAGCAGAGUUCGCUGGAGUGGCUCAGUCGCACGGAGGGCAGAAAGCACAGUCAGCCCGUGGCGGGACAGAGGAAGAAGCUCCGGGGGUAGGGAAACCCGGGAUUUGUGUCAAAACCCCAGCCGUCAGGAGCUUCAAGAAAGUUAGCAGCGGGGAAGGAACUCGGGGCUGCAACAGCGCGCGGCGGCGCGUCGGUAGAGGCUGGAGCGGGAGCCGCGGCGGAGCCGGGGAAGCGGAGGCGCCGCAGACGGAGCAGGUGCAGCCGGCGGGUCCGCGCGCCCCCCUCGGUCCCUUGCCAGAGGCUGAGGGGGGUGGUGGUGGGGCCCUGGACGCCGCUGGAAGAGUGGGGCGGGGGCCAUGCGGCCGGGCUCCCCUGGCUCAGCGGGACAAGCGGCCAGGGCCGGGCGCAGCGGCGUCGCUUCAUGCAGCGGGGCGGCUGGGCAGCGGCGGCAGCGGCGGCGGCGGCGGCGGCGGCGGCGGGGGCGGCGGCUGAAAACCAUGUCCGGGCAGGCCGGGGCUGCCGCCGCCGCCCGCCGCAGCCGGGAGCCGCGAUGGCCCCGUGGCCCGCACCUCCUCCGCCUCCGCCUCCGCCUCCACCUCUCGCCGCGCCGCCGCCGCCCGGCGCCUCGGCUAAGGGCCCGCCGGCGCGCAAGCUGCUUUUCAUGUGCACCUGUCCCUGUCCGUCACCUACCUGUGCUACAGCCUCCUGGGCGGCUCGGGCUCCCGCAAUCCCCCUGGCGCUGCAGGAGCCGCUGGCGCGCCGCCGAGCCCCCGCCGAGCCCGCCGCCACCCUCUCUGCGCC
rnacentral:lncRNA from 1 species